GUACACAAAAAUGCACAUAUUGUGAGCUCGAUGAGUAGGGCGGGACACGUGGUAUCCUGUCUGAAUAUGGGGGGACCAUCCUCCAAGGCUAAAUACUCCUGACUGACCGAUAGUGAACCAGUACCGUGAGGGAAAGGCGAAAAGAACCCCGGCGAGGGGAGUGAAAAAGAACCUGAAACCGUGUACGUACAAGCAGUGGGAGCCUCUUAAUGGGGUGACUGCGUACCUUUUGUAUAAUGGGUCAGCGACUUAUAUUCUGUAGCAAGGUUAACCGAAUAGGGGAGCCGAAGGGAAACCGAGUCUUAACUGGGCGUUAAGUUGCAGGGUAUAGACCCGAAACCCGGUGAUCUAGCCAUGGGCAGGUUGAAGGUUGGGUAACACUAACUGGAGGACCGAACCGACUAAUGUUGAAAAAUUAGCGGAUGACUUGUGGCUGGGGGUGAAAGGCCAAUCAAACCGGGAGAUAGCUGGUUCUCCCCGAAAGCUAUUUAGGUAGCGCCUCGUGAAUUCAUCUCCGGGGGUAGAGCACUGUUUCGGCAAGGGGGUCAUCCCGACUUACCAACCCGAUGCAAACUGCGAAUACCGGAGAAUGUUAUCACGGGAGACACACGGCGGGUGCUAACGUCCGUCGUGAAGAGGGAAACAACCCAGACCGCCAGCUAAGGUCCCAAAGUCAUGGUUAAGUGGGAAACGAUGUGGGAAGGCCCAGACAGCCAGGAUGUUGGCUUAGAAGCAGCCAUCAUUUAAAGAAAGCGUAAUAGCUCACUGGUCGAGUCGGCCUGCGCGGAAGAUGUAACGGGGCUAAACCAUGCACCGAAGCUGCGGCAGCGACACUAUGUGUUGUUGGGUAGGGGAGCGUUCUGUAAGCCUGUGAAGGUGUGCUGUGAGGCAUGCUGGAGGUAUCAGAAGUGCGAAUGCUGACAUAAGUAACGAUAAAGCGGGUGAAAAGCCCGCUCGCCGGAAGACCAAGGGUUCCUGUCCAACGUUAAUCGGGGCAGGGUGAGUCGACCCCUAAGGCGAGGCCGAAAGGCGUAGUCGAUGGGAAACAGGUUAAUAUUCCUGUACUUGGUGUUACUGCGAAGGGGGGACGGAGAAGGCUAUGUUGGCCGGGCGACGGUUGUCCCGGUUUAAGCGUGUAGGCUGGUUUUCCAGGCAAAUCCGGAAAACC
rnacentral:rRNA from 1 species